rnacentral:pre_miRNA from 10 species
AAUGCAAUUGCUGGGUGAUAUGGUGAGUCCAUUUUUAGUUUUUAAAGGAAUUGCCAAACUAUUUUCCAGAACAACUGUACCAUUUUGCAUCUCCACUGGCAAU